rnacentral:rRNA from 1 species
UUUGAUCCUGGCUCAGGAUGAACGCUGGCGGCGUGCUUAACACAUGCAAGUCGAACGGAAAGGCCCUGCUUGCAGGGUACUCGAGUGGCGAACGGGUGAGUAACACGUGGGUGAUCUGCCCUGUACUUCGGGAUAAGCCUGGGAAACUGGGUCUAAUACCGGAUAGGACCGUCUUUUAGUGUAGGCGGUGGAAAGACUUCGGUCGGUAGGGGAUGAGCUUGCGGCCUAUCAGCUUGUUGGUGGGGUAAUGGCCUACCAAGGCGUCGACGGGUAGCCGGCCUGAGAGGGUGUACGGCCACAUUGGGACUGAGAUACGGCCCAGACUCCUACGGGAGGCAGCAGUGGGGAAUAUUGCACAAUGGGCGCAAGCCUGAUGCAGCGACGCCGCGUGNGGGAUGACGGCCUUCGGGUUGUAAACUCCUUUCGCCAGGGACGAAGCGUUAUAGUGACGGUACCUGGAUAAGAAGCACCGGCUAACUACGUGCCAGCAGCCGCGGUAAUACGUAGGGUGCAAGCGUUGUCCGGAAUUACUGGGCGUAAAGAGCUCGUAGGUGGUUUGUCACGUCGUCUGUGAAAGUCCAGCGCUUAACGCUGGGAUUGCAAGCCAUACCGGGCUGACUUGAGUGCUUGAAGGGAAACUGGAAUUCCUGGUGUACCGGUGAAAUGCGCAGAUAUCAAGAGGAACCCCAAUGGCAAAAGGCGGUCUCCGGGCAAUGACUGACCCUGAAGAACCAAAGCAUGGGUACCCAACAGGAUAAAAACCCCGGGAUUCCCCUGCCCGUAACCGGGGGGGCCCCAGGGGGGGGGGAACCUUCC